GUCGAGCGGAUGACGGGAGCUUGCUCCUUGAUUCAGCGGCGGACGGGUGAGUAAUGCCUAGGAAUCAUGCCUGGUAGUGGGGGACAACGUUCCGAAAGGAGCGCUAAUACCGCAUACGUCCUACGGGAGAAAGUGGGGGAUCUUCGGACCUCACGCUAUCAGAUGAGCCUAGGUCGGAUUAGCUAGUUGGUGAGGUAAAGGCUCACCAAGGCGACGAUCCGUAACUGGUCUGAGAGGAUGAUCAGUCACACUGGAACUGAGACACGGUCCAGACUCCUACGGGAGGCAGCAGUGGGGAAUAUUGGACAAUGGGCGAAAGCCUGAUCCAGCCAUGCCGCGUGUGUGAAGAAGGUCUUCGGAUUGUAAAGCACUUUAAGUUGGGAGGAAGGGCAGUAAGUUAAUACCUUGCUGUUUUGACGUUACCGACAGAAUAAGCACCGGCUAACUCUGUGCCAGCAGCCGCGGUAAUACAGAGGGUGCAAGCGUUAAUCGGAAUUACUGGGCGUAAAGCGCGCGUAGGUGGUUCGUUAAGUUGGAUGUGAAAGCCCCGGGCUCAACCUGGGAACUGCAUCCAAAACUGGCGAGCUAGAGUAUGGUAGAGGGUGGUGGAAUUUCCUGUGUAGCGGUGAAAUGCGUAGAUAUAGGAAGGACCACCAGUGGCGAAGGCGACCACCUGGGACUGAUACUGACCCUGAGGUGCCAAAAGCGU
rnacentral:rRNA from 2 species